rnacentral:lncRNA from 1 species
CAACAUUAGAGACUGGAACUUAAGAGUUAUCCUCCAAUUAAAUCAAAUUUAACAACCAGAAUUCUUUUUUUAGAGAAAAGGCCUUAGCCCGACUUUAUAAAUAAAGCCACAUGGCAGAGUCACAAGCCCAAACCACAGCACGGGGACGAAGUCACCACCAGUUCACCAAAACACACCCAGGAACCAGGAGCACGAAGGUAUGAAGGAUACAUGGCACCCUGCCAGACACGGCACGCAGGCCGGAUAAAAGAAAAGAUAAAGCCAGCAACGCAGACGAAGAACCACCGGAAGACUAGAUCAGACACCAGGUUCCUGCCCAAUAAGAGACAACGCCGAGGCCCGAAUUUUUGAAAUGAGCAUGUCCAGCGCGCCCCGGUCGUCCUCCUUAGUCAAUGACCUCCACUCCUGCAAGAACAUACAUGAUUUAAGUAGACAAUCAACAGCUUUAGUAGGAAAGAAUUGUUUGAUCGUAAAUUUGUUCCUAGUAGUCCACGGCGACCAACAUAUCACACCCAGGCCAACCCAGAAGACCCUCUUAGUCACCCCAGCCAGCGAGUUGGCGAGGUCUCUCAGCUCAAGAAAGGAGGAGGGAUUCCAGGUAACCUGGAGCCAGGAUCUGACACAGCUCCAAACCAGCUUAGCAAGCACGCAAUGGAAGAAGAUAUGAUUUGUGUCCUCCAAGGCACCACUGAGAGCACAAAACUCCGAGCCCGGCCCGUUUCUCUUACAAAUUUGGUCAGCCGUGGGGAGACGGCCUCUGAAGGCUUGCCAGAGGAAAAUUUUGAUUUUCGGUGGGACUCGGGAACGCCAAAUGCUAGAAAACCUAUUAGAAGGGGCACCUCCAAUGAUUCUAGAGUACAAGGAUUUAACUGAAAACCGGCCAGAGGAGGAAUGAGGCCAAACCACCGAAUCUGGAGCCGCCGAGAGCAAGGGGAAUGAGGCAGAGAGUCUUUGCCAGUCAUCCAACUCUUCAGGAGACAAGGAGCGACGGAAAGCCAGGUCCCAAUUAUUAGCCGACACCUCCGCGAUGGAGAUAUUCGGGUUAAGGCAGUACGGAAAAAGAAUAGGGAAGCUAAUAGAAAGGGGAGUGUCACCACACCACCAGUCAAGCCAAAAACGGAUCGAGGAACCAUCUCCUACGAUGAACUUAACAUGAUCGAGGAACAGAGGCCGAACUUUAGUAAGAUCCUUCUAGAAUUGAGAUCCACGCCGGGCCCCAGCAAACAUCGGACUAGAGUGCGGGAAAUAUUUAGCUUUAAGAAUUGAAUACCAUAAAGAAUUGGCCCCACUAGUCAUGAUUUUCCACCACCAUUUGAUUAAAAGACAUUUUUUCAUGACCGACGUGUUGAUUAUGCCUAACCCCCUGAGGUUUUUAGGCCUACACAUGAGUUUUCAUUUAACCAACCUAUAUUUCCAUCUGUUGUCAGCAGCAUUCCAAUAGAAAGCACCAGUGUGCUUGUCAAAAUCGGCAUGAAUGCCAGCCGAGAAAAGAUAGAAGCCCAUUAGAAACAUAGGAAGGGAAGACAGACAAGCGUUGAUCAGAGCAACUUUGCUGGCAUUAGUAUUGUAUCUGCCUCGCCAGGGGAGAACCUUCUUUCCCACCUUAGACACAGCCGGAGCAAAAUCUUUUGAAUGAAGCACAUCAGGCGAGAUGGGAAGACCCAGAUAUUUAAAGGGGAAGGAGCCCAGGGAACAAUUUAACAGCCUAGCCACCCUCAAAGCCUCCGCAUCAUCUACACUAGUGACCAGGACCUCACUCUUGGAAAAGUUAAUUUUCAGGCCUGAGACAACCUCAAAGCAUAAGAGGAUGAACUUGAGAUGGGCAAUGCAAUCAUCGUUCAGUUCAACCAUAAUAAUGGUGUCAUCAACGUACUGCAGGUGAGUACCACCUUCUGGGAUUAAAUGAGAAACCACUGGCAGGAUAUGACCAUGAUGAGCCGCCCUGGACAAGAUGCGAGAAAAAGCAUCGACAACGAAGUUAAACAGAACAGGGGAUGCAUGAUCGCCCUAUCGCAGGCCCCUGCCAUUGACAAUUUUUUUUACUAAUGUGGCCAUUAACGGAGACCACAGUGUGGCCACCCGAGACCAACUGCAUAAUACGAUGAACAUACGCCCCAUCGAAGGCUUUCACUAGUAAAACGUUUCUCAGAAAAGGCCAACUGACCGAAUCAUAGGCUUUCUCAAAGUCCAGUUUUAGAAUGACAGCCUUAGAGUCACGAGCUCUCAAGUCAUGAACUAUCUCAUGGAGACAAAGAAUCCCAUCUGAAAUGAAGCGCCCUUUGAUGAAAGUAGAUUGAAACGGACUGAUAACUCUAUGAGCAACGGGGGAAAGACGAGUUGCAAAACCUUUAGCAGAAAACUUGGCGAAAUUGUUGAUCAACGCAAUAGGCCUGAACUGGGAGAUCAGCUCAGCACAUUUAACUUUAGGAAUCAAGGUGAUCACCUAGUUGAGACGAGAUAUGUCAAUAGUUCCUAGACAAAAGCCCUGAAUAACAUUACAAACCAACUGUCUCAGCUGAGGCCAGAACUUUCUAAAGAAGGGGAUCAAAAAACCAUCCGGCCCGUAAGCAGCAUUAGGGUUUGCAGAGUUAACCACGUCCCAAAUCUCCUUAUAGGAUAGGGGCACCAUCAAGGCAUCGUUCUCUUUUGCCGAAAUUCUCAUACUAUGGUCCCACAAAGAGGGAGAAAUAGAGAAGCCAGAAGGAGGUUUUGCCCCUAGUAACGAUGAGAAGAAAUCCACCACAUGGGAGAGGAUCACAGAUUGGUCCGAAGACCGAACUCCAUUAAUGAUCAAGCUAUUAAUACAACACCAUCUCCUCCGACCAUUGGCGAUGGCAAAGAAAUACGCGGUAGGAGAGUCCCCUUUAAGCGUCCAAUUUAACGUGUCACGCUGGCGCCAGUAGACUUCCGCUUGUUGAUGCAACUGUAUCAAAGCUGCUUCAAGAUUAUACCGCAAAGCCCACCCAUCAUCGGAGAGACCAGAAGAGUCGGCCGUAUGGUCUAGGUCCAAGAUCUGGGAUUCGAGAGAGUCCUUCGGUCUACGUUCCUUCGCAGCGUGAUUAUGAGACCAGCCUCUAAGAAAUGUACGCAGGUUAUAGGAGCAGGAAUGCCAAUCAUCCAAAGGGCCAAAGGAGCGAGAAUUUGGGGCUAAGAGAUUAAGAAUCUUAGAAGCCAGCAUGUCAUUAAACCCUUCAACGAGCAACCAGGGAGCAUCAAAUUGAAAUCUAGAGGGAGGUCUAUCUUGAUGUAUCCCACCAUCGAGAAGGAGAGGGGUAUGGUCGGAUCCGACAAUACUUUUAGCGAGAAGGGAGGCCCGGGGAAAGAGAGAAUCCCAUCUGGAACACAUAAACACUAUGUCAAGCACUGAUCUAAUCAGGAUGGCUUGAUGGUUGGACCAAGUGAAACGUGCCCCUAUCCUAGGAAGCUCGCGGAUAGCAGUGGAGCUGAUGAAGUCGUUGAAGGCAUUAGCCAGAGGCCAAGAGAAGUUGCCGUUGCUUUUGUCCGAGGGAGAGCGAAGAAGGUUAAAGUCACCACCGAUAACUAUCGGUAAAUUACACGCCUCGAUCUUAGCAGAGAGCUCAUCUAGGAACACAGAGGAUAACGAGUGAUCAGCCGGACCAUAAACCACAAUGAAUUCCCACAGAAUGUUAAGAGCUUUGUGACAAACUAUCGUACUUGCCCAAAAAAUACCAUGAUCACCACGAAAUCGAAAACAUCUUUUUUUGAGCCAAUCAGGAUCCCUCCUGAGUGGCCCGAAGUAGGGAGCACGUGCCAAUCGAAUUUGUCCAUGCCCAUGAUAGUAGAAAGCUCAUUGGGAGAAAAGGAUUCUUCAAAGGUUUCGACUAGCCCAACCAGAUCAAUAUUGGUCCCACGUAUUAAAUCCUUAAUCUGGUCUCGGCGCCCCCUAUCACCAAAACCCCUUAUAUUCCAAAACAGGGCUUUCAUUUAUAAGAAAGUUUUUUGAUACGGAGACUCGACCUGCUAGGAGCUACGCAGGGUUUAGAUCUUUUAGCAGGACCCCUCCUGGAAGCUCUUGGCUGAGGUUGGCCACUACCAACCUCCACACUAGCCCCCUGUGCCCGAACACCCACCGAAACUGCAGCCGAAGAGGCAACGGCUUCUUUGGCUUUAGCAAUGGCCGCCUGGGCCAACUCAUUGGCCCGAAUAGAAGAGAGGAGGGAAGAGGGGGAGCCUAACUCGGGAUCAACCAUAACACCCACAUCAGACAUAAUAUUUAACAGGUGAUCAUCAGAAAGAGGAGGAAGAACAAGCCAAAUCGGGAAGGGGGAAGAGGUCGUACCAAGAUUAUUACCUGAAGGAGGAAGAUCCUUAGUAGCCGGCAGCCGCUCCGCCCGCACCAUCACCGAUUCGCCCGCGUCAUGCACCCGCCUGCCCUUGCGAGUCAUGGAGGUAGGCGACCAGAUCGAGGGAGAACGGGCCGCAGGAGAAGCCGGGGUGGGGCCCGAACGCGACAUCGAACCCAGAUCCUUGUCAAGGCGACGAGACACACCUGUCAUCGACUGCUUAGAGCCUGAAGAAGCCCUGCUCUUCGCCAAAUACUUCCGCACCGAAGACUUCUUCUUCCUCUUAGACUGCGAAUCAUCAUCAGCACGACCAGGGGAGAGGGGCAGAUCCUCAAUACCCGAGCGCGUGGGAGAGGGAGGACGGCCCGGAAGGUUGGAGCAGGCCCUGGAGAUGGGGGUGACUGUGGCAGACUAUUUCUUGCGCAGCAGCUCAUCAUCAGCAGGCAUCACAUGGGCAGCAGGAGGGUCGGCCACCGCCUCGCGGGGGCCUUAUCAACAGGCGCUUGAGACUUGAACAACUCCCUCUCAGAUUCAGCCAGCCCAUCCCACUCGGAGUGGGUGAAACGCAUAUCAGACCCCCCCCCCACUAGGGUUUUGCCCACCCAUGGAUCCGUGCCCAUUCUUAUCAUGUUUGUCCGAGAUAUUAGAUGGGGGAGGAGGCGGGGGGGAUGAAAGGCUUCAGCCCCUUCCACCCGAACACGAAGUCUGACAUCACUGGGCGAGGGGAUCACAUCAAUUGAACCAUGAACACAAAGCGGGUCAACACACCAAAUCUUGAUACAAGCUGGACCAACCCUCUCCAGCGAUUCCACGUCCACCUCCAUUGGUUUUCCAAUCAGGGCGCCGAAAGCCAUCAGAAAGGAAGAAGACCAAAGCCCCGCUGGCACAUCAUCCACCAAAACCCACACCUCAGAGAGAGGACCAACAGCUUUUCCACCACAUGCAGCAGGCUUCACAGACACCACUAACUGAUUGAGGGGGAGGGUGAAGCUGGUGCAAGAUGCUAUCAUACGGAGGCAGUCCUUGGAGGGGAAAACAACCGAGAACUCAAAGUCAGACAACUGAUUGACUUGCCAAUCCCAGCCUUCGACAUCCCAGAUCCGGAGCCCUUCAAGAAGAGUUUGGGAAGAAAUCCUUUGCUCUUGCAUUGUGACUAUGGCAGCAUUGGAAAGGGAAGGGGCCGCCACCAAAACAGGAAAAUCACUAUCCAAAGUGGAAAAGGAGCAUCUAGGGAGAUCCAAGCCAAACUGGAGGAAGGAGGGAGGCUUCUGGCGAUUCUGACAGUUUACAGUGAGGUGCCCAUCUGAAUGGCAGAUCAAGUAGAAUGGGGGAUUGGUGCAUCUGGAUUGGAAAUGCCCAGGCUUGUGACAGGCAAAGCAAGUAAGCGCUGAGGGAUUGCUCGGGGUGGAGGGGUUAGGGCGAUGUAUCGGAAGGGAGGAAGGAGGAGGAAGGAUCCCAUCCCCCACCCCCGACGAGGACGCACCGGGGUGAGGGCCAGCAGGACGCCGGACCGGGCCAGCGAAGGACCGCGGCGGGGGACGGGGCCCAGCGCCAACACCCACCAGGCGAGGGACCUGCCGCGCCAGGGAAGGAGCGCCACGUCCCGCGCCCUGGACAUGCACGGAGCCCAACGAGGACGAACGCCCCCCACCAGCCGCCGCCGCCUCCCAGGGAUCCAGCGCUGGAGGGAGAGACGACCCAGAUCCAGAUCCUUGCGGACUAGAUCCAGGAGGAACGCGCUCCCGCUCCGAGCGCUGGAGCCACUCCAGGCCAACAGCCCACAUUGCACGGUUGCGAGCCACCUACUCGCGAGCCGCCUACUCCGCCUCCAGCUUGGAGCACAGGGAAGCCUCGAGCUCCAGAUCCGCAGCCGAGCCUGGCGAGUCCUCACGCCGGCGCUUGCUGCCCGAACCGCAUCAUAGGACGAGCCCCUCGACUUGUCCAUGGAGAGCACCGCCGCAAAGGAGAGGAGGGGAGGGGGGAGUGGAUCUGACUAAACAGCGGAUAGGGUUGCGGUGUCUACGCAAAUCAACGGUGGAAGCCGGAAACCCUAGCAAGGGGAGAGAGGAGCCGCAUGGAACCCAUAAAUAGCCAGACCGAGCCAUUCCAACAUGGGCCUGGCGGGCCACGCGGUCCGGGGGAGGGGGGAGGGAGGCGAGAGACAGGUGGGAGCCGCACCGGGCCCACAGUAGAGAGCGGGGAAUCGUCAACUGAUGACAGGACAUGAGGAGUGGCCUGGAUAGCCAGAGAAAGAUCAGGCGACCCAACAGGCCCAGCAACCGGCCCAUCUCGCGACCCACUAGUCAACGAGUGGGAGACCAGAUCUAGGGCAGGCGCCGCCGUCUCCACGCCGCAGCCAGACGCCGCAGCCGCCGAAGACGGGGAAGCCGGACCAGAGGCAAGUGAAGGGGAAGGAGGGCAGACCAUGAACGGAGCGGCACCCAGGAUUCCAGAUCCGGGCGAGGGGAAGGAGAACUUACCAGACUUGCGACAGCGACGAGAGAUCCAAACCCAACCAGCAUCAGACGACGGCGACGGUACCGGCCGGCCCCGACCACCAGGCGCAAACUUGCGGGAGCGAGGCACAGCGAUGGGAGAAGAAGCCCGCACAGGAAGGACCGGGGAGGGCGGGCAAGAGGCCGCCUCAUUCGACGAGCAAUCCUCAUCGGAGCCGAGGGACCAAAAGCGAGAGCCAAGUGACACCAGGGGAGGAGCUGAAAC